UACGUAGGGUGCGAGCGUUAAUCGGAAUUACUGGGCGUAAAGCGUGCGCAGGCGGUUUUGUAAGCCAGAUGUGAAAUCCCCGAGCUUAACUUGGGAACUGCAUUUGGGGACUGCAAGGCUAGAGUACGGCAGAGGGGGGUAGAAUUCCUGGUGUAGCAGUGAAAUGCGUAGAUAUCAGGAGGAAUACCGAUGGCGAAGGCAGCCCCCUGGGUCGAUACUGACGCUCAUGCACGAAAGCGUGGGGAGCAAACAGG
rnacentral:rRNA from 1 species